AUCCCAGCAACUCCUAUCCCUACCUCCUCAUGGUAUCUGCCGGACUACGAGCAACCUAAGGGAAGAUGGAGUAAUAAACCUCGAUUGGAACUUUGGUCGUAGGCUGACAGGGAAAG
rnacentral:ribozyme from 1 species